ensembl:snRNA U1 U1 spliceosomal RNA
GUACUUACCUGCCAGGGUAGAUUCCAUGAUCACAAAGGUGCUUUUCCCAGGGCGAGGCUUAUGCCUUGCACUCCGGAUGUGCUGACCCCUGUAAUUUCCCCAAAUGUAGGAUACUGAACUGCAUAAUUUGUGGUAAUGGGAGACUGUGUUCAUACUCUCCCC